rnacentral:rRNA from 1 species
UACGGAGGGUGCAAGCGUUAUCCGGAUUUACUGGGUUUAAAGGGUGCGCAGGCGGCUAUGUAAGUCAGUGGUGAAAUCUCUAGGCUUAACCUGGAAAUUGCCGUUGAUACUAUAUAUCUUGAAUGUUGUGGAGGUAAGCAGAAUAUGUCAUGUAGCGGUGAAAUGCUUAGAUAUGACAUAGAAUACCUAUUGCGAAGGCAGCUUACUACGCAGAUAUUGACGCUCAUGCACGAAAGCGUGGGGAUCAAACAGG